rnacentral:rRNA from 1 species
GCACAACGCGAAGAACCUUACCUACUCUUGACAUCCAGAGAACUUAGCAGAGAUGCUUUGGUGCCUUCGGGAACUCUGAGACAGGUGCUGCAUGGCUGUCGUCAGCUCGUGUUGUGAAAUGUUGGGUUAAGUCCCGCAACGAGCGCAACCCUUAUCCUUUGUUGCCAGCGGUUCGGCCGGGAACUCAAAGGAGACUGCCAGUGAUAAACUGGAGGAAGGUGGGGAUGACGUCAAGUCAUUAUGGCCCUUACGAGUAGGGCUACACACGUGCUACAAUGGCGUAUACAAAGAGAAGCGACCUCGCGAGAGCAAGCGGACCUCAUAAAGUACGUCGUAGUCCGGAUUGGAGUCUGCAACUCGACUCCAUGAAGUCGGAAUCGCUAGUAAUCGUGGAUCAGAAUGCCACGGUGAAUACGUUCCCGGGUCUUGUACACACCG